rnacentral:rRNA from 1 species
AUUGAAAGCUGGCGGCAGGCCUAACACAUGCAAGUCGAACGAGAGGCGGACGGGUGAGUAAUGUCUGGGCAACUGCAUGAUGGAGGGGGAAAACUACUGGAAACGGUAGCCAAUACCGCAUACCAUCAGAUGUGCCCACAUGGGAUUAGCUUGUUGGUGGGGUAACGGCUCACCAAGGCGACAAUCCCUAGCGGGUCUGAGAGGAUGACCCGCCACAGUCGAACUGAGACACGGUCCAGACUCCUACGGGAGGCAGCAGUGGUGAAUAUUGCACAAUGGGCUCAAGCCUGAUGAAGCCAUGCCGCGUGUAUGAGGAAGGCCUUCGGGUUGUAAAGUACUUUCAGCGGGGAGGCGUUACCCGCAGAAGAAGCACCGGCUAACUCCGUGCCAGCCGCCGCGGUAAUAC